AGAGUUUGAUCCUGGCUCAGGAUGAACGCUGGCGGUGCGCCUAACACAUGCAAGUCGAACGAAGGAUUGUGAAGGAACUUUACGGAGGGAAAACACAAUGACUGAGUGGCGGACGGGUGAGUAACGCGUAGGGAACCUGGCCCUUACAGGGGGAUAACAGAUGGAAACAACUGCUAAUACCGCAUAAGCGCCCAGCCUCGCAUGAGGCAGAGUGAAAAACUAAGGUGGUAAGGGAUGGCCCUGCGUCCGAUUAGCUAGUUGGUAUGGUAACGGCAUACCAAGGCGACGAUCGGUAGCCGGCCUGAGAGGGUGGACGGCCACAUUGGGACUGAGACACGGCCCAAACUCCUACGGGAGGCAGCAGUGGGGGAUAUUGCACAAUGGGGGAAACCCUGAUGCAGCGACACCGCGUGGGUGAAGAAGCGCUUCGGCGUGUAAAGCCCUAUCAGUGGGGAAGAAAAAGGACGGUACCCAAAGAAGAAGCACCGGCUAAAUACGUGCCAGCAGCCGCGGUAAUACGUAUGGUGCAAGCGUUAUCCGGAAUGACUGGGUGUAAAGGGAGCGUAGACGGUUGUACAAGUCUGAUGUGAAAGCCCACGGCUCAACUGUGGGAGUGCAUUGGAAACUGUAGAACUAGAGUAUCGGAGAGGCAAGUGGAAUUCCUAGUGUAGCGGUGAAAUGCGUAGAUAUUAGGAGGAACACCAGUGGCGAAGGCGGCUUGCUGGACGAAAACUGACGUUGAGGCUCGAAAGC
rnacentral:rRNA from 1 species